rnacentral:ncRNA from 1 species
CAGUUUACUUGGAUAACUGUGGUAAUUCUAGAGCUAAUACAUGCGAGAAGCGCCGACCUCGCGGGAGGCGUGCAUUUAUCAGACCAAAAACCGGCCGCGUCUUCGGGCGCGUUCGCCUUGGUGACUCUGGAUAACUUUGCGGAUCGCACGGUCUAGCACCGGCGACGGAUCAUUCAAGUGUCUGCCCUAUCAACUUUCGUCGGUACGGUAUUUGCCUACCGAGGUUCUUACGGGUGACGGGGAAUCAGGGUUCGAUUCCGGAGAGGGAGCCUGAGAAACGGCUACCACAUCCAAGGAAGGCAGCAGGCGCGCAAAUUACCCAUUCCCGACGCGGGGAGGUAGUGACGAAAAAUAACAAUGCAGGACUCGUUCGAGGCCCUGUAAUUGGAAUGAGUACACUUUAAAAGCUUUAACGAGUAUCCAUUGGAGGGCAAGUCUGGUGCCAGCAGCCGCGGUAAUUCCAGCUCCAAAAGUAUAUAUUUAAGUUGUUGCGGUUAAAAAGCUCGUAGUUGGAUUUUGGGCGCAGGCGGCCGGUCCGUCGCAAGGCGUGUACUGGACGUCCUGGCCUUCCCUCCGGUUCUCCGCCGGUGCUCUUGACUGAGUGUCGGCGGCGGCCGGAACGUUUACUUUGAAAAAAUUAGAGUGUUCAAAGCAGGCUCUCGAGCCUGGAUAAUGGUGCAUGGAAUAAUGGAAUAGGACCUAGGGUCUAUUUUGUUGGUU